rnacentral:rRNA from 1 species
UACGUAGGUCCCGAGCGUUGUCCGGAUUUAUUGGGCGUAAAGGGCGUGUAGCCGGGUUGACAAGUCAGAUGUGAAAUCCUGCGGCUUAACCGCGGAACUGCAUUUGAAACUGUUGAUCUUGAGUACUGGAGAGGCAGACGGAAUUCCUAGUGUAGCGGUGAAAUGCGUAGAUAUUAGGAGGAACACCAGUGGCGAAGGCGGUCUGCUGGACAGCAACUGACGGUGAGGCGCGAAAGCGUGGGGAGCAAACAGG